UAUGUUUUAGUAUAGUAUGUAUAAAAGUUUUUGAUACUUUAGGGGAUAGUUUAAAUCUGUUGAACAUAA
rnacentral:tRNA from 1 species